GCAAACUUGGUCAUUUAGAGGAAGUAAAAGUCGUAACAAGGUAACCGUAGGUGAACCUGCGGUUGGAUCAUUAUUGAAAACUUUACUGGUUGUGGGAAGCAAUUCCUACACCAAUACCCCAAAACAAUGCGCGAGUGUGUUGUGCUUUUUAGGACGCACACUCGCUGUUAACUCAAAGGAUAGUCGAGCACUCGCUCAGCUACCCUUACACCUAGAUUCACCUUUUUAAAAUUUACUUUUUUCAACAUCCGCAAGGAUCAGAAAAAAAACAACUUUUGACAAUGGAUCUCUAGGCUCUCGCAUCGAUGAAGAACGCAGC
rnacentral:misc_RNA from 1 species